GGGGAGAGCCAGGAUCCUGGGCUGUGUCCCCUGGUGCCCUGGGAUCGAGGGCCUGUGCUGCUGGAAUUGCACUCCCGGGGCCGCGGCUCCCG
rnacentral:pre_miRNA from 1 species